UGGGGGAUAUUGCACAAUGGGCGAAAGCCUGAUGCAGCGACGCCGCGUGGGGGAUGAAGGCCUUCGGGUUGUAAACUUCUUUUGCUCUGAACAAGGCGCACCAUGGGGUGUGUUGAGUGUAGGGGUUGAUUAGCGCCGGCUAACUACGUGCCAGCAGCCGCGGUAAUACGUAGGGCGCGAGCGUUGUCCGGAAUUAUUGGGCGUAAAGGGCUUGUAGGUGGCUGGUUGCGUCUGUCGUGAAAGCUCAUGGCUUAACUGUGGGUUUGCGGUGGGUACGGGCUGGAGUGAGUGCAGUAGGGGAGGCUGGAAUUCCUGGUGUAGCGGUGGAAUGCGCAGAUAUCAGGAGGAAUACCGGUGGCGAAGGCGGGUCUCUGGGCUGUUACUGACACUGAGGAGCGAAAGCAUGGGGAGCGAACAGG
rnacentral:rRNA from 1 species